rnacentral:rRNA from 1 species
UGGGGAAUAUUGCACAAUGGGGGAAACCCUGAUGCAGCGACGCCGCGUGAGCGAAGAAGGUUUUCGAAUCGUAAAGCUCUGUCCUAUGAGAAGAUAAUGACGGUAUCAUAGGAGGAAGCCCCGGCUAAAUACGUGCCAGCAGCCGCGGUAAUACGUAUGGGGCGAGCGUUGUCCGGAAUUAUUGGGCGUAAAGGGUACGUAGGCGGCAUGGCAAGUCCGAUGUAAAAGGCGAAGGCUCAACCUUCGUAAGCAUCGGAAACUGUCAAGCUUGAGUGAAGGAGAGGCAAGUGGAAUUCCUAGUGUAGCGGUGGAAUGCGUAGAUAUUAGGAGGAAUACCGGUGGCGAAGGCGACUUGCUGGACUUCAACUGACGCUGAGGAACGAAAGCGUGGGUAGCAAACAGG